rnacentral:rRNA from 1 species
AGAAAAUAGAUACCCGGGUAGUCCACGCCUUAAACGAUGGAUACUAGGCGUAGGAGGUAUCGACCCCUCCUGUGCCGCAGCAAAACGCAUUAAGUAUCCCGCCUGGGGAGUACGGCCGCAAGGUUGAAACUCAAAUGAAUUGACGGGGACCCGCACAAGCGGUGGAGCAUGUGGAUUAAUUCGAUACUAACCGAAGAACCUUACCCACUCUUGACAUUGAAGGAAAGCUCUAGAGAUAGGGCCCUCUCCCACAAGGAGACCUGAAAACAGAUGUUGCAUGGCUGUCGUCAGCUCGUGCCGUGAGGUGUACGGUUAAGUCCGCCAACGAGCGCAACCCUCGUUCUGUGUUACCAGCGAGUAAAGUCGGGCACUCACAGGAGACCGCCGGUGUAAGCCGGAGGAAGGUGGGGAUGAUGUCAAGUCAGCAUGGCUCUUACGAGUGGGGCUUCACACAUGCUACAAUGGGCGCAACAAAGGGGCCGCGAUACCGUGAGGUGGAGCAAAUCCCAAAAAUACGUCCUCAGUUCAGAUUGCAGU